UUGUUUUAUUUUCUGCCCCUGAUUAGUGAAUAAGAAUGUGUAAGACCCCUUUCGGGGACCCCCAGUCUAUUCUCGGGAGUGAGAGAGCACCCAAAGAAACACGAGAAUCC
rnacentral:pre_miRNA from 7 species